UACGUAGGGGGCUAGCGUUGUCCGGAAUCAUUGGGCGUAAAGAGCGCGUAGGCGGCCCGGUAAGUCUGCUGUGAAAGUCAAAGGCUUAACCUUUGAAAGUCAGUGGAUACUGCCGGGCUAGAGUCCGGAAGAGGCGAGUGGAACUCCUGGUGUAGCGGUGGAAUGCGCAGAUAUCAGGAAGAACACCAACGGCGAAGGCAGCUCGCUGGGACGGAACUGACGCUGAGGCGCGAAAGCGUGGGGAGCAAACAGG
rnacentral:rRNA from 1 species